rnacentral:rRNA from 1 species
UAACGGCCGCGGUAUCCUAACCGUGCAAAGGUAGCGUAAUCACUUGUCUUCUAAAUAAAGACUAGUAUGAAAGGCAUCACGAGGACUAACCUGUCUCCUCUUUCUAAUCAGUGAACCUAAUCUUCCUGUGAAAAAGCAGGAAUUUUUUUAUAAGACGAGAAGACCCUAUGGAGCUUUAAACAUCAUGACAACUGCUUUUAUACGAACUACUCCGGUCCCUAUGUUUCUCAGCACUAUGUUCAUAUGUUUUUGGUUGGGGUGACCAGGGAGAAAAAAAAAUCCUCCCUAAUGAAAGAGCCCUCCCCUCUAAACAGUAAGCCACAGCUUUAUGAAUCAACAAAUUGACAACAUGACCCAAUAUAUUUGAUUAAUGAACCAAGUUACCCUAGGGAUAACAGCGCAAUCCACUUUGAGAGCCCCUAUCGACAAGUGGGCUUACGACCUCGAUGUUGGAUCAGGGUUUCCAAGAGGUGCAGUCGCUUCUUAAGGUUCGUUUGUUCAACGAUUAAAACCC